UCGUCAGUGGUAUAAAGGUCAGAAUAGCAGCCUUCCAAACCCUUAUUGCGUAAAGCAUAAGCGAGUUAGCUGUUGAUCCGGGUUCGAUUCCCGGCUGACGCA